GACGAACGCUGGCGGCGUGCUUAACACAUGCAAGUCGAACGGAAAGGCCUCUUUCGGGGGGUACUCGAGUGGCGAACGGGUGAGUAACACGUGAGUAACCUGCCCUUGACUUUGGGAUAACUUCAGGAAACUGGGGCUAAUACCGGAUAGGAGCUCCUGCUGCAUGGUGGGGGUUGGAAAGUUUCGGCGGUUGGGGAUGGACUCGCGGCUUAUCAGCUUGUUGGUGGGGUAGUGGCUUACCAAGGCUUUGACGGGUAGCCGGCCUGAGAGGGUGACCGGCCACAUUGGGACUGAGAUACGGCCCAGACUCCUACGAGAGGCAGCAGUGGGGAAUAUUGCACAAUGGGCGGAAGCCUGAUGCAGCAACGCCGCGUGCGGGAUGACGGCCUUCGGGUUGUAAACCGCUUUCGCCUGUGACGAAGCGUGAGUGACGGUAAUGGGUAAAGAAGCACCGGCUAACUACGUG
rnacentral:rRNA from 1 species